rnacentral:rRNA from 1 species
UACGAAGGGGGCUAGCGUUGCUCGGAAUUACUGGGCGUAAAGGGCGCGUAGGCGGCUCUGUUAGUCAGGCGUGAAAGUCCUGGGCUCAACCUGGGAACUGCGCUUGAUACGGCAGGGCUAGAGUCCGGAAGAGGAGAGUGGAAUUCCUGGAUGUAGCGGUGAAAUGCGCAGAUAUCAGGAAGAACACCAAUGGCGAAAGCAGCUCUCUGGGACGGUACU